rnacentral:rRNA from 1 species
AGUGAGCGCUGGCGGUAGGCCUAACACAUGCAAGUCGAACGGCAGCACAGUAAGAGCUUGCUCUUACGGGUGGCGAGUGGCGGACGGGUGAGGAAUACAUCGGAAUCUACUUUUUCGUGGGGGAUAACGUAGGGAAACUUACGCUAAUACCGCAUACGACCUACGGGUGAAAGCAGGGGAUCUUCGGACCUUGCGCGAUUGAAUGAGCCGAUGUCGGAUUAGCUAGUUGGCGGGUUAAAGGCCCACCAAGGCGACGAUCCGUAGCUGGUCUGAGAGGAUGAUCAGCCACACUGGAACUGAGACACGGUCCAGACUCCUACGGGAGGCAGCAGUGUGGAAUAUUGGACAAUGGUCGCAAGCCUGAUCCAGCCAUACCGCGUGGGUGAAGAAGGCCUUCGGGUUGUAAAGCCCUUUUGUUGGGAAAGAAAAGCAGCAGGUUAAUACCCCGCUGUUCUGACGGUACCCAAAGAAUAAGCACCGGCUAACUUCGUG